CGGAGGGAGCUAGCGUUGUUCGGAAUUACUGGGCGUAAAGCGCGCGUAGGCGGCUAUUUAAGUCAGGGGUGAAAUCCCGGGGCUCAACCCCGGAACUGCCUUUGAAACUGGGUAGCUAGAAUCCUGGAGAGGCGAGUGGAAUUCCGAGUGUAGAGGUGAAAUUCGUAGAUAUUCGGAAGAACACCAGUGGCGAAGGCGACUCGCUGGACAGGUAUUGACGCUGAGGUGCGAAAGCGUGGGGAGCAAACAGGAUU
rnacentral:rRNA from 1 species